UGGUCAAGUUAUUAAGGGUGCAGGGCGGAUGCCUUGGCACUAGGAGCCGAUGAAGGACGUGAUAAGCUGCGAUAAGCUUCGGGGAGUUGCACGUAAACUUUGAUCCGAAGAUUUCCGAAUGAGGAAACUCACUUAGAGUAAUGUCUAAGUAUCAUUAAGUGAAUACAUAGCUUAAUGAGGGGAACUCAGGGAACUGAAACAUCUAAGUACCUGAAGGAAGAGAAAGAAAUUCGAUUCCGUAAGUAGCGGCGAGCGAACGCGGAUUAGCCCAAACCAAUAAAGUUUUCUUUAUUGGGGUUGCGGACAUAUCAUAACGAAGAGGUAUCGUAAUUGAAGAGGUUUGGAAAGACUCACCACAGAAGGUAAUAGUCCUGUAUGUUAAACGAGAAGACUUUAGAUAUGAUCCAGAGUACCACGGGACACGUGAAACCCUGUGGGAAGCAGGAGGGACCACCCUCCAAGGCUAAAUACUACCUAGUGACCGAUAGCGUAUAGUACCGUGAGGGAAAGGUGAAAAGAACCCCGGGAGGGGAGUGAAAUAGAACCUGAAACCCUGCACUUACAAGCUGUGGAAGCACAUUUCUUGUGUGACCGCGUACUUUUUGUAGAACGGGCCAACGAGUUACGUUAAGUAGCAAGGUUAAGCACUUAAGGUGCGGAGCCGUAGCGAAAGCGAGUUUUAACUGAGCGUUCAGUUACUUGACGUAGACCCGAAACCGGGCGACCUACCCAUGAGCAGGAUGAAGCGAAAGUAAAAUUUCGUGGAGGUCCGAACCCACGAGCGUUGAAAAGCUCGGGGAUGACUUGUGGGUAGCGGUGAAAUUCCAAUCGAGCCCGGAGAUAGCUGGUUCUCCCCGAAAUAGCUUUAGGGCUAGCCUCAAGGUGAGAGAUACGGAGGUAGAGCACUGAAUGUCCUAGGGGGUAUUGCACCUACCGAAGACUAUCAAACUCCGAAUGCCGUCAUCUUAUACUUGGGAGUCAGACUGUGGGUGAUAAGAUUCAUAGUCGAAAGGGCAACAGCCCAGAUCGUCAGCUAAGGUCCCUAAAUGUAAGUUAAGUGGUAAAGGAUGUGGGAUUGCACAGACAACCAGGAUGUUGGCUUAGAAGCAGCCACUCAUUCAAAGAGUGCGUAAUAGCUCACUGGUCGAGUGAUCCUGCGCCGAAGAUUUCCGGGGCUAAAACUUACUACCGAAGCUACGGCAUCAGUAAUGAUGGGUAGGGGAGCUUCCCAUACGGGUUGAAGCAUGACCGUAAGGACAUGUGGACAGUAUGGGAGUGAGAAUGUUGGCAUGAGUAGCGAGAUGUGGGUGAGAAUCCCACAGGCCGUAAACCCAAGGUUUCCAGGGGAAGGUUCGUCCGCCCUGGGUUAGUCGGGACCUAAGCUGAGGCCGAAAGGCGUAGGUGAUGGACAACAGGUUGAUAUUCCUGUACUACCGAUAACCAUUUGAGAGAAGGGAUGACACAGUAGGAUAAGCUAAGCACACUGUUGGUUAUGUGUGCCCAAGCAUUGAGGCAGUCAAAGUAGGCAAAUCCGCUUUGAUAAUGCUGGGAUGUGAUGGGGAGCGAAAUUUAGUAGCGAAGUAGCUGAUUUCACACUGUCAAGAAAAGUCUCUAUCGAGGUUAAAGGUACCCGUACCGCAAACCGACACAGGUGGGUGAGGAGAGUAUCCUAAGGCCAGCGAGAGAACUGUUGUUAAGGAACUCGGCAAAAUGACCCCGUAACUUAGGGAUAAGGGGUGCCACCAUCAGGUGGCCGCAGAGAAUAGGCCCAAGCGACUGUUUACCAAAAACAUAGGUUUCUGCUAAGUCGCAAGACGAUGUAUAGGAGCUGACGCCUGCCCGGUGCUGGAAGGUUAAGGGGAUCUGUUAGAGCAAUCGAAGCAGUGAACUUAAGCCCCAGUAAACGGCGGCCGUAACUAUAACGGUCCUAAGGUAGCGAAAUUCCUUGUCGGGUAAGUUCCGACCCGCACGAAAGGCGUAACGAUUUGGGCACUGUCUCAACAACAGACUCGGUGAAAUUGUAAUUCCGGUGAAGAUGCCGGAUACCUGCGACAGGACGGAAAGACCCCAUGGAGCUUUACUGUAGCUUGACAUUGGGUCUUGGUACUACAUGUACAGGAUAGGUGGGAGGCUUUGAAACCAGGACGCCAGUUUUGGCGGAGCCAUCCUUGGGAUACCACCCUUGUAGUACUGGGACUCUAACCAUAGGCCAUGAAUCUGGUCUUGGGACACUGUCAGGUGGGCAGUUUGACUGGGGCGGUCGCCUCCCAAAAGGUAACGGAGGCGCUCAAAGGUUCUCUCAGUACGGUCGGAAAUCGUACGUAGAGUGUAAAGGCAAAAGAGAGCUUGAUUGCAAGACAUACAGGUCGAGCAAGGAUGAAAAUCGGACUUAGUGAUCCGGUGGUUCUGCGUGGAAGGGCCAUCGCUCAACGGAUAAAAGCUACCCUGGGGAUAACAGGCUUAUCUCCCCCAAGAGUCCACAUCGACGGGGAGGUUUGGCACCUCGAUGUCGGCUCAUCACAUCCUGGGGCUGUAGUAGGUCCCAAGGGUUGGGCUGUUCGCCCAUUAAAGUGGUACGCGAGCUGGGUUCAGAACGUCGUGAGACAGUUCGGUCCCUAUCCGUCGCAGGCGUAGGAAAUUUGAGAAGACCUGUCCUUAGUACGAGAGGACCGGGAUGGACGUACCUCUGGUGUACCAGUUGUCCUGCCAAGGGCAUGGCUGGGUAGCUAUGUACGGAAUGGAUAAGCGCUGAAAGCAUCUAAGCGCGAAGCCAACUUCAAGAUAAGAUUUCCCACCGCAAGGGUAAGACCCCAGAAAGACUAUCUGGUUGAUAGGUCGAAGGUGUAAGUGCAGCAAUGUAUUUAGCUUAUCGAUACUAAUAGGUCGAGGACUUGACCAAU
rnacentral:rRNA from 1 species